GGCUGUGCAGUUUUUCUAUUGCCUUUGACAACAUUUUAUCUGGGUAAACAAAACUGAGCCUUCUUACGAAGCAGAUAUGAAUUUGCCUUCAAAACUCACGAUGAAUUUUGAUUUCAGAUUUCUUUGUGUAAUAAUGCAUACUCUGAUUUGCUGUCGAUUAGAAGCUUAAAUGCAAUAUUGCCAUUUAAUGCAUCUUUCAUCUGCAGCGAAAGCAAGCCGUAUCCCACGCCUCUGAUUGCACACCAAGAGAAACUCCUGACCGCCGCCUGGCAGAGCCCCUCCUCGCCUCUCAUCCCUCGUCCUGGAGAUCAGCCCGUGCCGUUGCAUUUAUGUGACUGAAGGUCUCAGCUGAUCCGUUCUUUUCUUGUGCAGCCAAGAGGUUUGCAGCAGCAGCAGCAGCAGCAGCCACGGCCAGUACCAUACUGUAAGUCAUUGGGCACAUUUUUUUUCUCUCAGUUUGGAAGGGGUUGGCAUUUGGUGUAUUCAGUUCCAUAGCACUUAACAUAUUUUUCUCGCACAGGCAAUGAACUGUAUCUCUUAGGCUGGGGCUGUGUGCUGCUCAGCAAGAUGCAGCAGUGUGGUGCCUGCUUUAUAGCAGCAGCAUGAAUGAAUGAUGCAAUCAUGCAGGGGGGAAGCAUCAUCAUUUUGGCAGGAGAGGCAAGAGGAGAUUGGAGAGCUGGGAGAUGUCUAUCAACAUCCACCAGGUUCCUCCAGCCCUUUUCAGCAACCUUUUAAAAUGUGCUUCAAUAAAUUUGUUGCUGGCAUUGCUGUACAGAUAUCAGCGUGCAGCUGCUAACAAUCCAUCUCUUGACUUGCACAAAGGUUGCUGAUACUACCUUUAAAAUCUGAACAUAAAACCUGGAAGUUAGAAGCAGCCUGGGUGAGUUUAAGGACUGAAUGUUUCUAUUUUCAUAUCAAAAACCACAGAAACUCCCAGUUUUGGAUGGGUUGAACUUUUAAAGUACUUGCAGGAAUACAUAGCAACAAUUUGCUUAAGUAUAGCUAAUGUGUUUUGAUUUAUAAUCUCUCUUCUUAAGCUUUCAGAACACACUGCGAAUAUUGAGAAUUAAACCUUAACAUAACAAAGAUGUAUUUCCAUUCUAAUCCCAUUUUACAGACAUAGGACUAGCAACAAUGAGGGACUAACAGCUUUGUUUAAACUGCUACCAUGUAAGCUCUGCUGUGGAUAUUCUCAUGAGCAGAAUCAUACCUGGGGUGGGAAAGGUCCUAAGAAAAGAUUCAAGAACAAACUUCUCUGACUCCCAUCCUCUAAGCAGCAGUUUCCUAUCACUGCAAUGGGAACAGUUUUAUGUGGUUGCGUUUCUGUUAAUUUCAGUGCAUGUUCAAUGAAACACUACUGGGCUUGAGAACGUAUCUCACAGUGACUUUGUUCUCAUCCAAACCAGUGAGACUGACUUCACUGGUGCCAGGAAAACAACUCUGGGCAAAGUGAGAACAAAAUUGGUCGUCUUGUGCACCCGUAGCUGAAGUGCUCAUGCUCACAGUUAAAUGUGAAAGUGAAUCAGAAUCACAAACAUUGCUUGCACACUGAGGAUAUUCCUGAAUGAUCCGUUUAAAAAGAUAUUUUAAGUAGUAUUUCAUCAAGAUCUACUUAAUGUUCCUUCUUUCCCAUAGCAGUAGGUGUGAAUAUAAUACAAAGUGCCAGUUGACAGCAACUCUGAAAGCUCACAGGUGGAGACGCACUGGAUAUGUUAAGAUCUCAUCAAAUUCUCAUCAAAAUGCAGCUGCCACAGAACACACAGAGUUCUGGGUGUCACUGCAGGUUCCUUUUCCAUUACAGCUAGCAGAUACUGCAGAUGUUCCAGCUUUUCACAGUGUGGCACAUGCCCUUCUUUGACCCGUCAGCAAACAGAAAAGAUUACAGUUGUUUUCCUUUAGCAUGUGUUCUUACAUAAUUAUUAGGCCUGCUUCUGUGACUCCACCCUCUCUGUUACGAAAGAGAUCCUAUUUCUUGUGGAAAUGCCAGUUUUUUUCCAAGUGUUCUAAUGCAGUCUGCAGGCACAUAGAUCUCAUGGAAAUGCCAUUUUCCCUUUUGAUUUCCUUUUUGUCCAUUUGCUUCUCAACUUUCAUCCUACCUCUUUCCCUUUGUCACUUUUCUUACACCUUCUCCAGCUUUUUCUUUGUCCAUUGCUUUGUCUCUUUCCAAUUUUCUUCCUUCAUCUUUUCCCCACUAUAUUUCAUUAUCAAACCUGUUGAAAUGUUUGCUGCAUGGAUACUUUUCCAGCAUGGAAAUAAUAGAAUAGAAAUAGAUUUCCUAUUUGAAGUACAGUGGCUGAGCCUGCAGAGAUUUUCUACCCACCUUUUUUCAUACAGAGGCAGAACUCAUAAUUAUCAGUUGUGGGAAUUUCUUUCUUCUUACCAUCUCAUAAAAGCAUUGAUGCAUCUAAGCAAUCAGAUGGUCCGUGUUUCAGAGUAACUGAAUCUCUCCCAUCCACAGAGGCCCAUAACACUCUGGAAUUAAAAACUGUUAUUCCUUUACUAAAUCCUUUAGAGAUUUGCCCAUGGAGAAGUUUUGCAGAACUUCAAUUCUGUUUCCCCACAUUUCCAGAUGACACCUACCUGUAGAUAAGAAUCACAGAAUAUCUUGAGUUGGAGACCCACAAGGACCAUCGAGUCCUGCUCCUGGCUCCAUAUAGGAACACCCAAAAAUCAGACUCUUUUUGAGCUCCAGUGGCUCAGUGCUGUGACCACUGCCCUGGAAGCUUGUUGCAGUGCCUGACCACCCUCUCAGUGAAGAACCUCUUCCUGAUAGCCAACAUGAAUUUUCCCUGUUGCAACUUCAUUGGAUGAUUGAGCCCAACUCCUGACUUCACACAGGGCAACAUGAGUUAAACCAUUUAGCUAGGUGUCCAAACACUUGAACACCUAAAGGCUUGGGGCCAAGCCAUGACCACUUCCCUGGCCACACGAGCUACUUUGUCUGUCCUUAUUUCCCUUGCAAAGUUACCUGGUGCUGAAUUCUAGGCAGUUUCCUGCUCAGUGCCAUGGCAGGAUGACCUGGUGAAAAUUCUGAAAACAAAGAAAGGAGCAGACCCUCUUCUACCUGUACUUCCCUUACUCCUGUGGCCUGUUGCUCAAUCAUAACUAGCCUUGCCUUAUGCUCUCAUUUACAUUUAGGCUUUGGAAAAAAAAAUUCACAAGUCACUGAAUUGGGUAUGUUAGUGUUUGGAGUGGCGUUUGCUAACCUCUGGAGGUGAUGGUCAGCCCUCGAGCUUUGCCGACCACAGCAGAAGCACUUUACUUCACUCCAAGCUAACAACCUUUAACUCCUAAUAUUUGUUUUUCUCACGAGCAAGACUCCCUGCAACAGCUGAAACUUCCCCAAAUGUUCUCCAGUACUGUUGAUCCAAUACAAAUUUCACCAUUUUAUAGUUGAUCACAAGGUCUCCAACUUGUGUGAUGAUACAUUUCCUACAAAUGAGCCUGCGUUUUCUAGGACUCAAUGCCUACCUUCAGUUGAACAUAGAAGGAUUCUGGCAAGUCAUACACCAAGGCAGAUCAGGAACUAUUGCUCUGUUCUGCAUUUCAAAAACACAAUUCUUCCAUUACAAUUUGACAUUUUUAGGCAUUAUAAACCAUAGCCUGUAACUCUUCAGGAAGAAUCAUUGUGUAGAACAAAAAGAAGACAGAGUUAAUUCCAGCCACAGUUUUGUGCAUGUAUCCAUCGAAAUGAGGCUCAAGCAGCGUUUUCAUCAUUGUAAGGAAUAUUUAAAGGAGAAUUAAGUAUGAGAAAUGGGGUAGCAGGGAGAAGGAAAAGUUAAUGUCUCCUCCUUCCUCCUCCCAGUGUGUCUAACUAUAACAUUUUUAUCAGAUUAAAAUUGUGAAGACGUUUCCAAAAAUACAUUUCAAGUUCUCACCAAGGAAUCACAUAACAGUGCUGUCACCACGCAGCCAUAUUGCAUCAUACUAUGGUAAUGUUGCAGUGCAGCCUCAGGUUAGCAUGAGGCAAUGUGACUGCUUUGCAUAAUAAGGAAUCAGUGUUGGAACAACAUGACGCAAAUGUCACACAACAGUGAUGCAACAAGUUUGUCCAGUAGAGCAAAUCCUGAAAAUUGGCACCAAACCCAUGGCUAAAUUCUUUAUAAUUUCCAGUAAGCUGGAAAAAAAAAACACAAAA